rnacentral:rRNA from 1 species
GACGAACGCUGGCGGCGUGCCUAACACAUGCAAGUUGAGCGACGAACCAGGGCUUGCCCUGGGGCAAAGCAGCGAACGGGUGAGUAACACGUGGGUAACCUACCCCGAUAACCGGGACAACCCGAGGAAACUCGGGCUAAUACCGGAUGUGCUCACUGGACUUCGGUUCAGUGCGUAAAGGAAGCUUCGGCCUCCGUAUCGGGAGGGGCCCGCGGCCCAUUAGUUUGUUGGUGAGGUAACGGCUCACCAAGACCGCGAUGGGUAGCUGGUCUGAGAGGACGAUCAGCCACACUGGGACUGAGACACGGCCCAGACUCCUACGGGAGGCAGCAGUGGGGAAUCUUGCGCAAUGCGCGAAAGCGUGACGCAACAACGCCGCGUGGGGGAAGAAGGCCUUCGGGUUGUAAACCCCUUUCAGGAGGGACGAAGGUUCGGCGGUGAAUAGCCGUCCGGACUGACGGUACCUCCACAAGAAGCCCCGGCUAACUACGUG